rnacentral:rRNA from 1 species
AUGAAACGCGAGGCCGGUGACCACCUUCUGCCGGACUUCCUCGCAAAGAACCCCUUCAGCCAGGUCCCCGUUCUCGAGGACGGCGACCUCACCCUCUUCGAAUCGCGCGCAAUCGCGAGGCACGUGCUUCGCAAGUACAAGCUGGAGCUGCUGGUGGGAGACGGCUCGCCGGAGUCGGCGGCGAUGGUAGACGUGUGGCUGGAGGUGGAGGCCCACCAGCACCACCCCGUGGCGGGCGCCAUCUCGAUCCAGUGCCUCCUCGCCCCGCUCCUCGGCGGCGUGCGCGACCAGGCCAUCGUCGACGAGAACGUCGUGAAGCUGAGGAAGGUGCUGGAGGUGUACGAGGAACGGCUGUCCGCGUCCAAGUACCUCGCCGGGGAGUCGGUCAGCCUCGCCGACCUCAACCACUUCCCGCUCAUGCACUACUUUAUGCAGACGGAGUACGCGUCGCUAGUAGAGGAGCGCCCGCAUGUCAAGGCGUGGUGGGAGGAGCUAAAGGCCAGGCCGGCGGCGAGGAAGGUCAAGGAGUUCAUGUCACCGGACUUUGGGCUGGGGAACAAGGCAGAGCAGUGA